GCCUAUGGUGCCAGCUACUAGGGAGGCUGAGGCUGGAGAACCCCUUGAGUUCAGGAGUUCUGGGCUGUAGUGCACUAUACCAAUCGGGUGUGCGCACUAAGUUCGGCAUCAAUAUGGUGACCUCCCGGAAGCGGGGGACCUAGGUUGCCUAAGGAGGGGUGAACCAGCCCAGGUCGGAAACGGAGCAGCUUAAAACUCCCGUGCUGAUCAGUAGUGGGACUGCGCUUGUAAAUAGCCACUGCACUCCAGCCUCAACAACAUAGUGAGACCCUCCCUCU
rnacentral:SRP_RNA from 1 species